rnacentral:rRNA from 1 species
AGUGAACGCUGGCGGUAGGCCUAACACAUGCAAGUCGAACGGCAGCACAGUAAGAGCUUGCUCUUACGGGUGGCGAGUGGCGGACGGGUGAGGAAUACAUCGGAAUCUACUUUUUCGUGGGGGAUAACGUAGGGAAACUUACGCUAAUGCCGCAUACGACCUACGGGUGAAAGCAGGGGAUCUUCGGACCUUGCGCGAUUGAAUGAGCCGAUGUCGGAUUAGCUAGUUGGCGGGGUAAAGGCCCACCAAGGCGACGAUCCGUAGCUGUUCUGAGAGGAUGAUCAGCCACACUGGAACUGAGACACGGUCCAGACUCCUACGGGAGGCAGCAGUGGGGAAUAUUGGACAAUGGGCGCAAGCCUGAUCCAGCCAUACCGCGUGGGUGAAGAAGGCCUUCGGGUUGUAAAGCCCUUUUGUUGGGAAAGAAAAGCAGCAGGUUAAUACCCCGCUGUUCUGACGGUACCCAAAGAAUAAGCACCGGCUAACUUCGUG